UACGUAGGGGGCGAGCGUUGUCCGAAUUUACUGGGCGUAAAGCGCGCGUAGGCGGUUUCUUAAGUCUGGGGUGAAAGGUUCAACGCUCAACGUGAACAGUGCCUUGGAUACUGGGAGACUUGAGUCUGGGAGGGGGCAGUGGAAUUCCUGGUGUAGCGGUGAAUGCGUAGAUAUCAGGAGGAACACCGGUGGCGAAGGCGGCUGCCUGGCCUAAGACUGACGCUGAGGUGCGAAAGCGUGGGUAGCGAACGGG
rnacentral:rRNA from 1 species